CACCGCCCGUCACACCAUGAGAGCUGUUUGUACCCAAAGUCAUUUUAGCCAACCUGUAAAGGAGGCGGAUGCCUAAGGUAUGUAUGGUGAUUGGGGUG
rnacentral:rRNA from 1 species